ACAGGAAGCCGCGAGGAUCCGCGCGUCCCGCGAGCAACUGUCCGGGCAACUUUAGGGCGCGCUCCCGCUUUCAGUUUCACGUAGGCCAGGGGUGUUUUGCCCUCCAGAGUUGAACAUUCACCUUGGGUCCCCUUUCUGUGCGACGACCCUCUAAGGGAUCAGAUUAAGAGGCCGGCAGCGAGAAACGCCGGGGGUGGGGUGGAGGCACUGACGGGAGAGGCGCCCCCUCACCUCGCCUCAGACGGUGGCAACCGCCCCGCGCUUUCCGGAACUGCAGCUUCCCCAGAAGUCAGCUUAAUUAAUAGCCUGUCUUUGGGGAACUAGAAUAAAAGAUACUGAAUCUGUAGAUGGCCAUUUCCCGACCAUCCUUCCAUUCUCGAAACUGCUGCCACUGUGAGAUUUUGAUUAAAGAGAUUUUAUAAGAGUGAAAGAACAUCUGAAUAUGGACGGGGGUGCAUCUUUAACACCUGUGCAAAUUUAGGCUGGGCAUUUCCUCCAGUGUUACAUGUGGGUGAAACAUCUGGAUCUACAAUCCAACUUGAAUUGAAUUUUGUCGAUGGUGUAAGAUAAAAGGUUCAGCAUUCAUUUGUUUCCAAAUGGAUAUCCAAUUGACCCAGAACCAUUUAUUGAAAAAAAUAACUGUCAUCCUUUCCCCAUUACACUGUCGUGUCAGCUUUGUCAAACAUCAGGUUUUGGAGACACAAUUGAUGAAGUGAAGUCACUGGAAUGGAAACCACAAUGCCUGAGAUCAAGGCUCACUUUUUACCAUAAAUCAGAAUCUGCAUCAAAUCUGAAUUCUUUGUCAUCACUUCCUAUGCUGGAACCUUGGCUCUCCAGACCAGAGGUUGAAAACAUCUUGGCAAAAUAAUAGAAGCUGGUGUCUGCAGCUAGAUGGACCUUUCAAGCCCUCCCAAGGUUUUGCUGACAAGAAACUUGCCAGCAGAAGAGAGCAACAUAAGGAGGCAGUCACACUUUGGGGAAUCAGAUGUUCAGUGCCUGUUCUAUAGGACACAUUCAUAUCAACCUUCAACCUCUAACCCUGCAGCUUCGUGUCAAGAUUUCGGGUGAGCUGACUUACUUGUAUAGGUGUCACUCCUAUGCUGAGAUGGUUGUUACUUAAAAAUAUGCAGAAGUGUCUGUCAAUUUCAUAAAUAUGUAACCCAAUAAACACACACCAAAUUUGUCUUUGAGUCUCCAACUUCCUUUUAGGUGGUUCCCCAAAAAUGCCAACAGUAACCCCCAAAAUAGCCAACAAAAAAGGGAAGUGUGAAAGAGGG